AGCUAAUACUCGGUUCUUAUUGGUGAUGCUUCCAAUCAUUUCAACAACAACUGGAGAGCCGAAGGCCAUCCAUUAUUUUCAUAUACUAAGUCUGAACCAGCUUUAAAGGGACACUAUAGACACCAAAACAACUUUAGCUUAAUUAAGCAGUUUUGGUGUAUAGAUCAUGCCCUAGAGUCUUUUGGUAAAUUAUCUGCCAUUUAGGAGCAGAAUCACUUUGUUUAUGCAGCCCAAGCCACACCUCUCCGCAUGUUACUUAUACAGCCUUCCUAAGCACUUCCUGUAAAUAUAUCUAAAUAUGCAUAUUUUGUUUAAUUUAGAAUGUCUUAUCUUCUACUCUAAUAACCUUUUAGACCUUGCAGGAGCCUCAGGUGUGUAAUUAAAGGUAAAAUUACAGAGCAGGAGAGAAAAAAAAUCUAAAGCAAGUUAACAUCUGAUUGAAAAUGUAACCGUUUUCAUUCAUGCGGGCUGUGUGAGUCUCAGC